ACAGGAGAAUCAGGCCUGGAUAAGCUGUGUGGACAUCUUAGACCUAUAUAUGACCCCUUUAAUUGGAAUUAAUAUUUGAAAUCUACUCAAGAUUUUCAGUGAGUUAAACAGGGAAAUAAACACAGGAGUAGAGCUUUACCUCUUUAACCUUCAACCAGAUUCAAGGAUGUCGGGCAAAGAAGUUAUUGCUUGGCCCUUCCCCAGGCAAACUCACUUUCCUGGAGGCCUGUCUGCAAUGGCCGGAGGCUAUCUUCUUUGUAGCCAGAACUCUGAGAAUUUGCCUUAAAACAGAAGUGCCUCGGGCUGCCCUGGGGAACCUGGCAUCUCUUGAAAUCCUCUUAUGAAAGACAGCUUUUGCCUAAAGCUCUAAGUAACUCAUAAAAGGCAAGGGAAGAUACUGGCAAUUAUCCAAGGGAUUUCAGCAAGAGAAAUGAAUUUCAGGCAAAAAUCUCUUAGAGCACUGCUUCUCAAUUUUUAUUGUGCAGGGAUCUUGUUAAGAUACAGACUUUAACGAGGGAUCUUGUUAAAAUGCAGAUUCUAGUUGGUUAGGCUUGGGGUGGGGAUGGAGCUUCUGCGUUUCUUACAAGCUCUCAGGUGAUGCUGAUGUAGCGAGCUUUUAGAGCAUCCGCUUCCUGACAGAAUUUGCCCCAAUUCUCCACUUGCUAUCUUUGGAGCAGAGGAUCUCAGAAUUUAGGUCACAUUAGAAUUACCCGAGGAACUUGGAAAAAAUGCAACGUUUGAUUUGGUAGGCCUGGGUGGGCUCUAGGAGUCUGCUUUUCUAACAAAUACCUCAGCUGUCCCAUUUUUCUAAGAAAUGUUGCUUUAGGGGAAGUACAGUGGUGACCCAAGAUACCCAGAAAUGCCCCAGAAAUGCACAAUAAAGCCAGUACACAGCCUUAGGGACCAGUAAGUCUUAGCUAGUGAGAGGUUUCUUUAAUUGGGGAACAGUGUAAGAUUCAAUUAAAGAAGUUCAGCUCAUAAUUCAGCAAAAUAAAAUAAGGUUAUUAGGGGUCUCACAUGGGCUUCUUCAUUGCUAGGCAGAGAAAAGGAGUCUCAAAUCUCCUCUGAUUACACUCCUGCUAAUUUCAUGCUGAAGGACCUGCUAUGUGACACAAGUAGGAGCAAGCGGAGAGUGACAGUAACUGACACCCGAAACUCCAGGAAGAGGGCAUGUAUAAGAGCCCCUAGAGAUCCAGACACCCCAGUAAGAAGUAAGAGGACACAUGUAGCUCCACAGCCAAAACUGCGUCAUAUUUUUUGCUUUCAGAAACUGUUUCUAUGGAAACUCACUAGAAAGGUCUCUUGGUCUCUGCAAGCAGAGAUCAUUUUGAGAGAUGUGUGGGGUUUUUUGUUUGUUUGUUUUGUUUUUGUGUGAACGUAAAGUAGCAAUAUAAACGUGAGUAAAAUUGAUGCAUGAUGUAAACAGAGUUGUGCUCCUCUAUGAUCUCCUACUUAGAUAACCCCUUGGGGAGGAAGAGAUGACAUGGUUUCAGAUGGCCAUCCUGAACUACAAGAGGACAUAAGGUGAUGGAGAAAAACAAGGGACAGUUGGUCUCAAAAGAUUAAAAUUGAAUACAAUCCAGUAGAGAAACAGUAACUUUUUAAAUUGACAAAAACCUUUGCAGAGGGAAAAAGGAGAAAACAACCUAUGAAAUAAAUUUAAAACCCUGGAGAACGUUCCUUGGUUUGUCUAGCUCUUGAAGAAGAAUCCUGUGGACCUUGCUCCUUCAUCGUGCUAGAGGAAAGAUGAUAGGAAAUAUUAAAACAGGAAAAGGAAGAGCAGAUCUUCUACAGGACAGUUUUAUUUCUACAAAAUGACUUCAGGUGCAAUCCUCCAGACAUCACCAAAGGCUUCAACUACAGAAAAUGAAAUGAAACAAAAGCUCUAAUACGAACUUCAAAGAAAGCAAACAGAUACACAUGGAGCCCAGAGGAUGGUACAAACAUUUUCUCCAUGAUUCACCUUUCAGAUCAUGUUAAUUUCACCCAAGGACUGGAGAGCUCUCUAGGUCCAGGAGUCAGAGUUCCUAACCAAUGGGAGAGAGAGAAGGUUGAACAGCCCCCUUUAUUUCAGUGGGAGAAAAAUCUCUGGAAUGUUAUUUGCAUAACUGUGACCUCAAUUCAAUACAACAUGUCCAAGCAGGAUAAUUGGAUUUGGCUUAUAAGAAACAUGAGAAAAGAAGAUUUACAAGCAACCUAUGCUAGAUUUAAGAUCUUCUACAGAGAAUUGACUUAAUGUGGUCUCCAUCUUCUCCACUGACAGAAUCCCAUGAUUUGGACUAGCGCACAAUGAAAGAAUUGGAUUAGAUGUAAAAGGUUUCUAGAAAAAACUCUGAGUCUUCCGCCCUGAUGAUCUAUGAGUAGGAAAUGUGAUAAUAUAGCAGCCUACCCAGAGAGCUUUAUUCCAUGCUGCCUAUUUUCAGAAGGAAUAAUGACUUCCCAACUGGAGAGUCACCAUGUUCAUCACUUACAGAGGCUGGGUACUUGGCAAUCUCGACCAAAACAUUAGCUAAGGAUACCUGGGUAAUAAAGGAAAGCCUUCCUUAUUGAUAUUUGCAAAUUACAACAAGUCUUGAUGUGGCUUUGAGUUAUAUAUCACCUAUAUGAUCUAUUGUAAUUAGCUAUAUAUAUGACAUAUAACUGUACAUAUGACACCUGUGCACACGACAGAUAUGUGUAGAUGUAUAUUACCUAUAUGAAAGAAUAUUUGGAAAAUUUUCUUUUCAAGAAAGUAUUUCUGUAGAUUUGGAGACAAUUUUCUUGCUCCACAAUUGUGUAUUUCUCCUCUUAUUCAAAAUACUCUUCCAUGUAAGAAAGUGACCAAGGGGACUUCCCUGGCGGUCCAGUGGUUAAGACUGUGUGCUUUCACGGCAGGGGGUGCGGGUUCUAUCCCUAGUCAGGGAAUUAAGAUCCUGCAUGCCGCGCAAACACGGCCAACAAAGAAAAGAAGAAGAAAAAAAGAAAGUGACUAAAAUGCAAUUGUCUUCCUCAUCAAAGGAAAUUAGAUUAUUUAUAUUAUAAGUCUCCCUCUCUCCACCAAGUCAAACAAUAUUAGCCUCCCGUUUCAUCCUAAAACAAAAAGGCUUCAGGAGCAGGGGUGAAGGGGCCACAGGAAAGAGGUACACUGGAAAGAACCCUGAAAUGUGGGACCCAUUUCCACCUUUGCCCUGGAGCAGCUGUGUGCCUUUGGGCAAAUCAUGUGACCUCUUAGGGCUUCAGCUUCCUGGUCUGUAGAAUGUAGAGUUGAACCAGAGAGUUUCUUAGGCGUGUGUGCACAGAAGAAUCACGUGUGUCUAGCCAGUGUGCACAGAAGAAUCACCUACAGUCUUCGAAAGAGAUGAGUUCCUUGAAAUGGGUAAUGGUGUUUUAAACCCAGAGCUUACCACAGGAUGUGACACGUAGUUAAGGUUGCCAGAUUUAGCAAAUAAAAACACAGGAUGUUCAGUUAAAUUUGGAUUUCAAAUAAAUGAUAAAUACAUUUUUAACAUGA